UACGGGGGGGGUAAGCGUUGUUCGGAAUUACUGGGCGUAAAGGGCUCGUAGGCGGCCAACUAAGUCAUACGUGAAAUCCCUCAGCUUAACUGGGGAACUGCGUGUGAUACUGGAUGGCUUGGAUUUGGGAGAGGGAUGCGGAAUUCCAGGUGUAGCGGUGAAAUGCGUAGAUAUCUGGAGGAACACCGAUGGCGAAGGCAGGUCUCUGGGCCGAUACUGACGCUGAGGAGCGAAAGCGUGGGGAGCGAACAGG
rnacentral:rRNA from 1 species